CCAGCAAAUGCUCCCCAGCCUAGGGGGCCGUAAAAGCAGCUCCUAAUAGAAGCUGGGCUUGCAGAGAUCUGCUCUUGCAGCUGCCCGUGACACGCUUCUAUCCGGAAUAUCCAUUAAUGAAACAGUGUGCUGUAUUCUCUCAUAAGGAAUGAGAAAGAGGUUCUGUCAAUAUUCAUUCAAGUUGGAAGAGACAGAAUAUGAACAGAUGGCUGUGGCAAACAGCACAUUGCAAUUGGGAAGCAGCGAACAGGGUUCUGACAUGGAUUAUCUUGUUGGAGUCUCACGAGAUCCCUGAAAUGAAAAAGCUGAGAAAAGUCAAAACAGCUUGGCUGAAAGUGAAAACAACCUCUUCAUGGCAGAUCAAGGAUUACUGACCUGGGGGAGUCUUUCUUUGUUCCUUUGUUUGUUUGUUUUUAAAGUAAGCUCUACACCCAACGUGGGUCUUGAACUCAAAACCCCAAGAUCAAGAGUCUGAUGCUCUACCGACUGAAGCAUGUAGGCACCCCAGGAGUCUUUUCACAAUACCCCUUUACCUCCCAAUGAAAGUGAAAAUUCUCUGCUUCUAAUUGAAAGUAAAAAUUGUUUUACAUUCUCCUACUGUCUAAAAAUUCUCUCAUCUAUUUUCAUCACUAAGUCCUCUGCAAUAAACACAUUAACACGUUAAUGACAUCCUA